rnacentral:rRNA from 1 species
UACAGAGGUGGCAAGCGUUGUUCGGAAUUACUGGGCGUAAAGGGCGCGUAGGCGGUCUUUUAAGUCUUGUGUGAGAUCCCUCGGCUCAACUGAGGAACUGCACGGGAUACUGGAAGACUUGAGUUCGGGAGAGGGAAGCGGAAUUCCGGGUGUAGCGGUGAAAUGCGUAGAUAUCCGGAGGAACACCGGUGGCGAAGGCGGCUUCCUGGACCAAGACUGACACUGAGACGCGAAAGCAUGGGGAGCGAACGGG